rnacentral:rRNA from 1 species
GAUGAACGCUGGCGGCGUGCCUAAUACAUGCAAGUCGAGCGAACGGACGAGAAGCUUGCUUCUCUGAUGUUAGCGGCGGACGGGUGAGUAACACGUGGAUAACCUACCUAUAAGACUGGGAUAACUUCGGGAAACCGGAGCUAAUACCGGAUAAUAUUUUGAACCGCAUGGUUCAAAAGUGAAAGACGGUCUUGCUGUCACUUAUAGCUGGAUCCGCGCUGCAUUAGCUAGUUGGUAAGGUAACGGCUUACCAAGGCAACGAUGCAUAGCAGACCUGAGAGGAUGAUCGGCCACACUGGAACUGAGACACGGUCCAGACUCCUACGGGAGGCAGCAGUAGGGAAUCUUCCGCAAUGGGCGAAAGCCUGACGGGGCAACGCCGCGUGAGUGAUGAAGGUCUUCGGAUCGUAAAACUCUGUUAUUAGGGAAGAACAUAUGUGUAAGUAACUGUGCACAUCUUGACGGUACCUAAUCAGAAAGCCACGGCUAACUACGUG